UACUAGACUCUAAGGGCGGAUGUAGCCAAGUGGAUCAAGGCAGUGGAUUGUGAAUC
rnacentral:tRNA from 1 species